GCGAGAAUGCCGAAGUUGUGCCUCCCGAGCCAAUAGAGUGGAUGUGUGUGUCCCACAUGACUGUGUUUCCCCUGUCUUUCACAUGGGCAGUAUUUAGUUCAAUUCAGAACUGCAGAUAGUAUAGCCUGCACGGCAGCAAUGGGAUGUCUGAGCACGGGUGGCUGACUUCCAAGCGACUCCGCGAAGCCCGGCUGUACAUUUCUCCCAAAUUACCCUGGAAUUGUGCCCUCCUGCCUUCUGCCCACCCUCCCCGUCUCUGCGGAAGGAGGCAGCGUGACCUGCACAGCACAGCAAAACAAAACUAGGAAUCACGACAAAGCUGCAGACCAGCAAAAGAAGCUAACUGAGGGCAACUCGACCAACAUCUUCUGUGUCAGUUCCCCAGCAGUCAAUGAAGCAUGUUAUUGGGUCUCUAAGACAAAUGAAUAUUUGCCUGCAAAACUUUUACUGCACCUCCCAGGAAAAACUCAAUCCCAGUAAAGGAAAAAGAUGAUGUAAGCCAUGCAGAGUAUCUACCACAGAAGUCAGACCAUCAAGAAGAGGAAAAGGACUGAAGACGAGAUGCUCUAUUUCACACAGUUGCCCUCUGGAAGGGCUGGCAAAGGCAGUCACUUAAAUUAGUAAAGAACAAUCACAGAAGCCAAUGAAUCAGUCAGUUUCACUGCAGCGAGCUAUGCGCGGUUCUCAGGAAAAGCAUUCAGACCAACUGCCUUCAAGAGACUGAUCUGCGAGAAGUUGGCUCACAGUUACAAAUAGUAAGGAAGAGAGAAGCUUGGAAAACUGCCAGCUCCUUGCCUGAAGAUCGAAACAGGAUGGGCAGAGAAGGGAGUUGACAUUUAAGGAUGCUGUCAAGUCAAUGGAGUUCUGUUGUAGUGGUUGCUUCAGUGAACAUUCAACGCUGUCGGCCUUAACACUGAAGAAAGCAACCUAACCAGCACAUGAGGUUUCUCCUCCACCCUGCCAAGCUUUACAAAAAAGGUCACAAUCAACAUUCAUUGCUGUCGGUGGGUUUAACUAUGUGGACAAGCUCACUGAACAAUGAAUGCAACUGUGGCCCCACAUUUUACAGUUGCUGUUAAGAGGAACAUCAUCUCUGAAAGCAGUAGCAAGAAGCAGAUUCUUAUAUCCUAAUAUUUUCUGGUCAAAAAGUAGUCAAGGAUUUUCACUUUUUUGCUUGUUGUUUUUAAGUGUGCUUAAGUCAGCUAACUGGGGUGGGGGGCGGGGGGCAGGGAAAAAUCACUGCCUCUUUCUAGAACAACGUACUCCCCAGAGUUCUGACUCAUUCAAGCCAUAAGAAUCUGUGUUCAGUAUAUACAUGGAAGUGAUUGCUAGUAUGGGGAACUGUUUCUGUAGGCACACUCCUAAGGACUCUAAGCAUAGGAAGGAAAGAAAUUUAAGCCUCAUCUUAAGCAUUACAACCAAGUACACAAGAAAACCUUUGCUGCACUUGUUAAGACAGAAGCACAAAUGGGAUCCAGAAUUCAAAGAUAUGGAUAAAAUAUUACAUCAAGUAAAGGAUUAGUUUCACAUGAGGCUUUUUUUUUUAAAGCAUGUAAUAAACACUAUUAAACAAACCUUUUGAGACUUGACUCUUCUUUGUGUUCUGAGAUAAACCAGGACUAAAGAGCUAUCUAUCCGAUAAUAACAGUAAUUGAACAGUAGUUAAACUGUAAAACUUACUGUAAACUUCGGGUACCUAUGCCACAUUCUCAGAAUUUUUGAU